AAUAAUAUCCGUUUUUCAAUUCAAUUUUUUUAUAUGCUAAUAUAUUGCUAAUAAUAAUUCUUGCAUUGUCCAAAAACGAACAAUUAAAUGCUAGCACUGAAAGGCUUUUUUUUGUCUACUAUUAGAAUUGUGACAAUUUCCUUUUUUUCAGUACCCUUUUUGAAGUUUAAAAAAGAUUUUUCUCCGUUACAAUUUGUAACAGCAGCAGAGAAAGAGAAAAACAUCCUUAGAACAUCAUUAGCGUUUGAGAUUCAAAAUUAUUCGAUUAAAUAACCAGAAGUAAAUUGAGAUGAUUUUUUUUCUGGUAUUCACUAAUAUUAGUUUUAACUGAAUUAGUAACAAAGUUCUUGUAAUGUAGUUUUUUAUUCAGAAUAUAAAUGUCCGCAUCAUUUAGGUAAAUUUAAAAAAGUUAUUUAGUGCACGCUGAGAUCACAACAGAAUCUAUAUCUUAAAGACAGACAAAGAAUCCAAAUCAAGAGAAGCAUAAGUCUUCACCUUUCAAUCUCAGUUACAAGUUGAUCCAUGGUGACCUGAAAUGGAUUUUAAUUUCAACGCAAUCAAGUGGACAGAAGGUUACUAUGGCACACUAACUAGUAAGACUGAUACAUCAGCCAAAAUUUUCUUAGAAUGUUUAGACAGUUGCUUUAUGCAUCAGAAUGUGAUUAAGCCAACGCUUCAAAAUAAAAUUGGGAAUGAAACGAAUGUACUGGAUUUGAUUAUAGCUGAGAAUAAAAAUAGAGUUUAUAAACUGGUACAUCUUCCACCACUGGGAAGUAUUAACCACGGUAAUCACAUUAUUAAAUUUAACUACAGUCACGAAGAGUGUAUUGACAACAUUGUACUUGUGAAAGAAAAAUUUAGUUUUAAUCAAGGGAAAUAAAUAAUUAUUUUAAAAUCUUAAACUGGGACAAUGAAUUCAAAGGUUUAGAAAUAAACAAAUGUUACGAAAAAUGGUUAAGCUUUUAUGAAGAACUCUUUAUGCCAAUCAUAAAACCGGGAAGCAUUCAAACCAACACAAAACCUCUCUGGAUUAAUAAAGAAUUGAAAGCGCUGUCAAAAGAAAAAAGAAAGGUUUAGUUCGAAUGUCGAAGGCAGAAAUUCAGAGAUAAUCGUUUACUUGCAAAAUACAAAGAGUUAAACGAGGUUUAAAAAAAAAAGUGAAUUAAAGAAUUAAAGAUUUUGAAUAUGAUCUUGCUUUAAAUUCAAUGUUUAACCCCAAGAAAGUUUAUUCAUAUAUUAACAAUAAAAGUAAAGUCAAAGACAAUAUAAGAGCAAUCCAACUAAAAAAUGGUAGCAUCGAAACUGAUUUAAAAGUAAUUGCAAAUACAUCGAAUGGGUAUUUUGUAUCUGUAUUCAAUAAACCACAAACUUUAUCUGCUUCAAUAAUAGAUAAAGAAACACAAAAAAUCUGUUAAAACCCAGAUUUUAAUGCCUCUGUUGUUGAAGAAUACUCAAACAAACUGGACACUAAUAAAGCAACUGGAGUGGACCGUUUUCAUCCAAAAGUUCUAAAAGACUGCAAAUCUACUUUAGCUAAUCCACUAUCGUUAUUGUUUAAUAAAUCAUUUGAAACGGGUAAAUUUCCGAAAUUAUGGUUGUGUGCAAAAAUCGUCCCACUGUUUAAAAAUGGUAACAAGUUGAACCCAUGCAACUAUAGACCUGUAUCUUUAACAUCUGUAGUUUGUAAAGCCAUGGAAAAAAUAAUUAAAGAUAAAAUGAUGAAAUGUUUAGUUGAAAAUAAGUUAAUCAAUAAAAACCAACAUGGAUUUGUUAAUAAUAAAAGUUGUGUGACGAACUUAUUGGAAUCUCUAGCUUUUAUCACAAGUUAAAUUGAUAAUGGUUUAGAUGUAAUAGUUUUGUUUCUGGAAUUAGCCAAAGCGUUUGAUUCAGUUGAUCACGAAAGAUUAUUGUUAAAUUGAAUGCUCUUGGUUUUAUAUCAAAACUAUUCGACUGGUACCAGGGAUUUUUAAAGAACAGACUUUAAAAAGUGGUCAUAGGAAAUAAUAAAUCAGAAUGGGAAGAGGUUGUGAGCGGAGUACCACAAAGAUCAGUUCUAGGACCACUAUUAUUUGUAGUUUAUAUUAAUCGUAUUUCCAACAAAAUAAAAUAAAGCUGUAAACUAUUUUCUAACCACAUGAAAGUCCUUAGAGCAAUGAUAUUAUUGAACUUCAACAAGAUAUAGACUUAUUAAUGGAAUGGUUGGUGAAAUUCAACCAGCAAAAAUGUAAGGUUAUGGUAAUAGAAAAUAGACAGCACAAAGUUUUAAUGAAUAUUACAGCUUUAGCCUACACAAGCAUGGAAAAAGAUUUAAGAGUGUACAUUUCAGACAAUUUGGAAUGGAAACACCAUGCAAAUAAAGCAGUAAAUAGCUAGGUAAGAUCAAACACACUUUUAAAUAUUUAGAUGAAAAAACGAUGAAACUCUUGUUUAUAGCCUUAGUACGUCCACAUUUAGAAUAUGCAGCUCCAAUCUGGAAUCCUUAUCGUCAGUUUGAUAAAGAUAAGCUAAAGUGUGUCCAACAAAGAGCUUCUAGAAUUAAAAUUUUGAAAAGAUACAGUUAUGAAGAGAGGUUAAAAAAGUUGGAUUUACUAUUGUUGGAGAACAGAAGAAGAAGGGGUGAUUUGAUACAAAUGUUAAAAUAUUUGAAAGGGUACAAUAUUAUAAAUUUUUACUUAAAACCUGAAAUGCUAGAUAACGGAUAUAAAACUAGAGAUCACAAUAGUAAACUGAGAAGAUGAGGAAAUAUACAGGAAAUAAAAAAUAUACGAUAUAAUUUUUUCACAAAUAGAGUAGUAAACGAUUGGAAAAAUCUUAAAUAAGAAACGCAGUCAGUAUCAAAAACAAAUUGGAUGAAUAUUUUAAAUACUAACUUUUAUUAUGUUUGUAUGUUAGUGUGUUACAGCUGUUAAAGUUACAAACUUUACGUA